GAUGAACGCUAGCGGCAGGCUUAACACAUGCAAGUCGAGGAGUAAAUAUAGCAAUAUAUGAGACCGGCAAACGGGUGCGGAACGCGUACGCAAUCUACCCUUAUCUGGGGCAUAGCCCGAAGAAAUUCGGAUUAAUACCUCAUGGUAUACUGAGUUGGAAUCAAUUUAGUAUUAAAGAUUCAUCGGAUAAGGAUGAGCGUGCGUCCCAUUAGCUAGUUGGUAGGGUAACGGCCUACCAAGGCGACGAGGGGUAGCUGGUGUGAGAGCACGGCCAGCCACACGGGGACUGAGACGCGGGCCCGACUCCUGCGGGAGGCAGGAGGGAGGAAUAUUGGUCGAUGGACGCAAGUCUGAACCAGCCAUGCCGCGUGAAGGAGGAAGGCCUUCUGGGUUGUAAACUUCUUUUAUGUGGGAAGAAACCGCUGGUUUCUAUUAGGGUUGACGGUACCAUAGGAAUAAGCACCGGCUAACUCCGUGCCAGCAGCCGCGGUAACAC
rnacentral:rRNA from 1 species